rnacentral:rRNA from 1 species
UCUUUUCCUUUUUUUCCCUCCGCCGCGGUAAUACGUAGGUGGCAAGCGUUGUCCGGAAUUAUUGGGCGUAAAGCGCGCGCAGGCGGCUUUCUAAGUCCAUCUUAAAAGUGCGGGGCUUAACCCCGUGAUGGGAUGGAAACUGGAAAGCUGGAGUAUCGGAGAGGAAAGUGGAAUUCCUAGUGUAGCGGUGAAAUGCGUAGAGAUUAGGAAGAACACCGGUGGCGAAGGCGACUUUCUGGACGACAACUGACGCUGAGGCGCGAAAGCGUGGGGAGCAAACAGG